rnacentral:rRNA from 1 species
GACGUAGGGCGCGAGCGUUGUCCGGAUUUAUUGGGCGUAAAGAGCUCGUAGGCGGCUUGUCGCGUCGACCGUGAAAACUCGCAGCUCAACUGCGAGCCUGCGGUCGAUACGGGCAGGCUAGAGUUCGGUAGGGGAGACUGGAAUUCCUGGUGUAGCGGUGAAAUGCGCAGAUAUCAGGAGGAACACCGAUGGCGAAGGCAGGUCUCUGGGCCGAUACUGACGCUGAGGAGCGAAAGCGUGGGGAGCAAACAGG